rnacentral:rRNA from 1 species
GACAGAGGAGCCAAGCGUUGUCCGGAUUGACUGGGCGUAAAGCGCACGCAGGCGGUCGUGCACGUGGGGUGUGAAAACUGGCGGCUUAACUGCCAGAGGCCACCUCAUACGGCGCGACUCGAGCCCUGCAGAGGUCCAUGGAAUUGCCGGUGUAGUGGUGAAAUGCGUAGAGAUCGGCAGGAACACCCAGGGGGGAAACCAGUGGACUGGGCAGGAGCUGACGCUCAGGUGCGAAAGCGUGGGGAGCGAACCGG